GGAAGUAAAAGUCGUAACAAGGUUUCCGUAGGUGAACCUGCGGAAGGAUCAUUAGUGAAUGCCCUCACGGGCUUAACUAUCCAACCAACCUCUGUGAACCGUCGCCCUUGGGCGCUUUUAUAACAAACUAUAACUGUCAUGAACGUCGUAUACAAAAACAAAACACAACUUUCAACAACGGAUCUCUUGGCUCUCGCAUCGAUGAAGAACGCAGCGAAAUGCGAUAAGUAAUGUGAAUUGCAGAAUUCAGUGAAUCAUCGAAUCUUUGAACGCACCUUGCGCCCUCUGGUAUUCCGGAGGGCAUGCCUGUUUGAGUGUCAUGUAGACUCAACCCCCCUGGUUUAUGAUCGGGAAGGGUUGGAUGUGGGCGCUGCCGAUUGCCGGCUCGCCUUAAAUGUCUUAGCGGCUUGGAAGCCCCGACCUAGCGUAAUAAGUUUCGCUGGAGAGGGUGCGGACGACUGCUCACAAUUGCCUUUGGGCAACUUUUUGACUCUGGCCUCAAAUCAGGUAGGACUACCCGCUGAACUUAAGCAUAUCAAUAAGCGGAGGAA
rnacentral:rRNA from 2 species